CGAGUUAUCUGAACCUUCGGGGGACGAUAACGGCGUCGAGCGGCGGACGGGUGAGUAAUGCCUAGGAAAUUGCCCUGAUGUGGGGGAUAACCAUUGGAAACGAUGGCUAAUACCGCAUGAUGCCUACGGGCCAAAGAGGGGGACCUUCGGGCCUCUCGCGUCAGGAUAUGCCUAGGUGGGAUUAGCUAGUUGGUGAGGUAAGGGCUCACCAAGGCAACGAUCCCUAGCUGGUCUGAGAGGAUGAUCAGCCACACUGGAACUGAGACACGGUCCAGACUCCUACGGGAGGCAGCAGUGGGGAAUAUUGCACAAUGGGCGCAAGCCUGAUGCAGCCAUGCCGCGUGUGUGAAGAAGGCCUUCGGGUUGUAAAGCACUUUCAGUCGUGAGGAAGGCGGCGUCGUUAAUAGCGGCGUUGUUUGACGUUAGCGACAGAAGAAGCACCGGCUAACUCCGUGCCAGCAGCCGCGGUAAUACGGAGGGUGCGAGCGUUAAUCGGAAUUACUGGGCGUAAAGCGCAUGCAG
rnacentral:rRNA from 1 species